AUUGAACGCUGGCGGCAUGCCUUACACAUGCAAGUCGAACGGUAACAGGUCUUCGGAUGCUGACGAGUGGCGAACGGGUGAGUAAUACAUCGGAACGUGCCCGAUCGUGGGGGAUAACGAGGCGAAAGCUUUGCUAAUACCGCAUACGAUCUACGGAGGAAAGCGGGGGAUCUUCGGACCUCGCGCGGACGGAGCGGCCGAUGGCAGAUUAGGUAGUUGGUGGGAUAAAAGCUUACCAAGCCGACGAUCUGUAGCUGGUCUGAGAGGAUGAUCAGCCACACUGGGACUGAGACACGGCCCAGACUCCUACGGGAGGCAGCAGUGGGGAAUUUUGGACAAUGGGCGAAAGCCUGAUCCAGCCAUGCCGCGUGCAGGAUGAAGGCCUUCGGGUUGUAAACUGCUUUUGUACGGAACGAAAAGCCUCUUUCUAAUAAAGAGGGGUCAUGACGGUACCGUAAGAAUAAGCACCGGCUAACUACGUG
rnacentral:rRNA from 1 species